rnacentral:rRNA from 1 species
CCUACGGGUGGCAGCAGUAGGGAAUAUUGCUCAAUGGGGGAAACCCUGACGCAGCAACGCCGCGUGGAGGAUGAAGGUUUUCGGAUUGUAAACUCCUUUUGUUAGAGAAGAUGAUGACGGUAUCUAACGAAUAAGCACCGGCUAACUCCGUGCCAGCAGCCGCGGUAAUACGAAGGGUGCAAGCGUUACUCGGAAUCACUGGGCGUAAAGAGAGCGUAGGCGGGAUUGCAAGUCAGAUGUGAAAUCCUAUGGCUUAACCCAGGAACUGCAAUUGAAACUGUGAAUCUAGAGUAGUGGAGAGGUAGGUGGAAUUCUUGGUGUAGAGGUGAAAUCCGUAGAGA